rnacentral:rRNA from 1 species
GACGAACGCUGGCGGCGUGCUUAACACAUGCAAGUGGAGCGACGAACCGGGGCUUGCCCCGGGGCAGAGCCGCGAACGGGUGAGUAACACGUGGGUAACCUGCCUCAAUGAUUGGGACAACCCGGGGAAACUCGGGCUAAUACCAAAUGUGUUCACUCCUUCUAAGGGGAGUGAGGAAAGGAAGCUUCGGCCUCCGCAUUGAGAUGGGGCCCGCGGCCCAUUAGCUUGUUGGUGAGGUAACGGCUCACCAAGGCUUCGAUGGGUAGCUGGUCUGAGAGGACGAUCAGCCACACUGGGACUGAGACACGGCCCAGACUCCUACGGGAGGCAGCAGUGGGGAAUCUUGCACAAUGCGCGAAAGCGUGAUGCAGCAAC